AAACCGUGAUUCGGAGACUUUUACAAAUACUCCUUGAAUCUCUCCCAAGCGUAAAAUUGUUGUUCCCCAAGAAGUUGUUUGAAAUCAUAUAUCUUGUCACGAAUUU